UCAGCCAUCUUGGCCAAUGGUCUAGGAUUCUGGGAGCUGAAGUCACAAAUAGGUUUCUUCUAGUCCUUUAGUCCUCCUUGCUGGUCUAAAGAACAAGGACAGCAACAUGGUGGGACUCUGAACUGUUUGAGAAGAAGGAUAAGCUUCCGCCGCAGGGCCCUUGUUCUCCAGUCACCGCUCGGCAAGUGAGGCGGUUACUUCAAUACUUAGCAGCAUCGCCACAACUUACCACAGAGGAGGAAUGGGAACCCUUGCUAAGUAUCUCCAAAGCCAGACAGUGGGAAUGGAAACCUACCCAGAUCCAUCACCAUCAUAUGCAGCUGCCACCCUCAUCAUGCCUUCCAGAUGAGGUCAGACUCAGGCUGGCCCAGCAAAGAAAAGCAAGUAUCGUUCAGGAUUCCCCUCUGAAGCCUCUCUUGGGUGCCCCAAGGAGGAAAUCUUGGGCAAAGGCCACCUCCUCCUACCAGGGUGAAAGAGAUGCUCAGCCCCAUCCAGUCUACAAAAGCCAGUCUCCUGGAGUUAUCAAGGGAACCAUCCUGGAUGCUGAGGAAAAAGAGGAAGAAGAAAGAAUGACGCAGGCAUUCUCCUCAGCAGCAGACGAAGGAGAAUAUAUUUCGCUAGGAACAGCAAGACCACUCAUCCCCAGGCAGAGAGGGAAGAUCUUUGCUCCCUCCAUCUAAGAGAUGGUCGUUGUCCUCCCACUGCAUGGUGGGUGAAUGUAAUGGUCCUGGGGUUACGGCAAUUCCUGACGUUGACAAAGAUAUAGGGCUUCCAGAAGACUUUAUGAUCUAGAAUGUUUACAGAACAGAAUUUUAAAGACUCUCCUGGCAGUUCCAAGAUCUACUCCAAUACAGUUUCUGAAGCUGGAGACGGGUUCUCAACCUUGGUCCUCAACCAUUUGCACAUCUGUUUUUAACUUUUGGACAAGAUUGAAGACUCUCCUUGAAAAUCUACUUCUUAAAUUUUGUUGUAAUGAACAUAUGUGUUACUCAGACUCAAUAAGGUUUUGAUAUUUAAUCUUGUUUAAAAGUCAUUAUCUGCUGCGAUAGUUUAAUUUCUUCUAUUUAUUAAUUUUUAGCAUACCUAUACAUUUUUGUGAUGACCUGUCGUCAUGUACAAUAAAUUUGAUUGAUUGAUAUUG